AUUGAACGCUGGCGGCAGGCUUAACACAUGCAAGUCGAGCGGAGAGAGGUAGCUUGCUACUGAUCUUAGCGGCGGACGGGUGAGUAAUGCUUAGGAAUCUGCCUAUUAGUGGGGGACAACAUUUCGAAAGGAAUGCUAAUACCGCAUACGUCCUACGGGAGAAAGCAGGGGAUCUUCGGACCUUGCGCUAAUAGAUGAGCCUAAGUCGGAUUAGCUAGUUGGUGGGGUAAAGGCCUACCAAGGCGACGAUCUGUAGCGGGUCUGAGAGGAUGAUCCGCCACACUGGGACUGGAACACGGCCCAGACUCCUACGGGAGGCAGCAGUGGGGAAUAUUGGACAAUGGGCGGAAGCCUGAUCCAGCCAUGCCGCGUGUGUGAAGAAGGCCUUAUGGUUGUAAAGCACUUUAAGCGAGGAGGAGGCUACUUUAGUUAAUACCUAGAGAUAGUGGACGUUACUCGCAGAAUAAGCACCGGCUAACUCUGUGCCAGCCGCCGCCGUAA
rnacentral:rRNA from 1 species